AACACCCACAAACAACGUCACGACGCAACGUGGUUAAACAGUACGUUUAUUAAAGUAACUGGGUGAACGACACCGGAGCGGACUGCAAAUCGCAACGCUACUUUCUCGAGUGCAGAUACUCCUCGAGACGGCUAAACAACGUGUCCAACUCGCUGAGACCUUUCCGCGUGCCGUUAUCCGAUUUCCUUUCCGCCUCCUGAGACAGCCGACUAAUCACGGACUUAUCUCCGCAACCUAACAGAGGCUGGGAGCCCGACAAAAGUAAAACAGCGUGCUAUGAACACGUUGUUACCUCUGCGCGGACAGCGCCGCCACAGAGACACUUACGCAUUGCCGCAUGUCUUUGUAGAUGGAUUCUAGCGUCGAGCGCAUACUAUGCAAUUCCGUCUUGAGUCCGGGAUAGACGUGGUCGCCUGCGGGGAACACGAUCUCCAGAUACCGCCUUAACAACCAGUCCAUGACGCUGCAUCCCCAACAGCCUUUGACCACCGUACCGUCGAGCCACACGGAGUAGUCGUCCUCACGUUGCUACAAGAGGAAAACUACGUCACCCGACACGCGGAAAAGAAAGACCGUCACAAUAAACCGUACCUACGUGACCUACCAACGUAGGUUUUACUCGAUGAAAGGUGACGCGGAGAUCUUGCAAUCUGGUCGCGUAAUCCUCUGGACGACACUGCGGCUUUGUAUUCUUUAUCGUCGUCGUCGCCGGCUUCGCCUCCUCGGAAGCGCCUAGAAAAAAGACGAUUAGGACCAGAGAGGAAGAGACCAUCACCGACAGCAUCGCCGCAGCAUGCUACCCCAGUCCGCCGCCCAACUGCGCGUCCCAGGUACCACUCGUAGACUGUCAGCCUCGCGAGGAGACACCGCGGACCAGGGAAACGGAUAAGUUUACGAACAGAAAUCACAAGAGAAAUACGCUGACCCGAUAAGUACCGUAACGGAGACACGGUGGUUUUUAUUGAAUUUCCAGUGUAUCGAGCCACCGUGAUGCAGGUACGGCGGUUUUAUGUAAAGUGCCGCUAUCUAUAGGCGAUGUGUUCCCUGACGGUGUGUGUUUUUUUGGGGAUAGACAACGUGGUUCUUGUACGUGGUUUUUACCCUGCUCAAUAAAGUCACGUUUUCAUUACACGGUGUUGUGUC
rnacentral:lncRNA from 1 species